CCUACGGGUGGCAGCAGUGGGGAAUAUUGCGCAAUGGGCGAAAGCCUGACGCAGCGACGCCGCGUGAGGGAUGAAGGUCUUCGGAUCGUAAACCUCUGUCAGCAGGGAAGAACGGUCACUGUGCUAAUCAGCAGUGAAUUGACGGUACCUGCACAGGAAGCACCGGCUAACGCCGUGCCAGCAGCCGCGGUAAUACGGAGGGUGCGAGCGUUAAUGGGAAGUACUGGGCGUAAAGCGCGCGUAGGCGGUAUGGCAAGUCAAGGGUGAAAUCCCCGGGCUCAACGUGGGAACUGCCUUUGAAACUGUCAAACUGGAGUGUGGGAGAGGAUAGUGGAAUUCCAGGUGUAGGAGUGAAAUCCGUAGAUAUCUGGAGGAACAUCAGUGGCGAAGGCGACCAUCUGGCACAUAACUGACGCUGAGGAGCGAAAGCGUGGGUAGCAAACAGGAUUAGAUACCCUUGUAGUA
rnacentral:rRNA from 1 species